rnacentral:lncRNA from 1 species
ACAUCACUGCUACCCAAGUCACAAGAAUGUCACGUGAUCUGACAAACCUUUCCGUGAUAAAACUCGCGUGUAUAAUUACCCUUUUACCCUUAUGUCUAUAUUGAACACAAGGCAUAGUACGUCACCCUUGUUAAGUUCAAUAUUGGGCCCAUAGACAUAUCUCCCGUUAUGUAGGAGGGGUAAAUUCCAUCUAGGUCACUCAUGUCCCUCAGCAUGAUUCGUGGAAUACCCAUCAACCAACCUUACAGUCAUCCUGUUACGGAUAACUUUGAUUGGCGACAAAGUACUACACUCCUACACCUAGGGAACAUAGUGGUUUCAGGUCGAAGGGUGGAAUACACCACUUAUCACUAUGAGAAUAUCUUAUGACAUUUCAUAACAUACUAUGUGAUAUUCUCAUGGUGGGUCAAUCCGAUAUAAAUAUUACUCUUAAUAUUUAUAUCUAUGUGAAGACUUGAUAACUCUUUAUCUAUGAUCCGUGAGAUGUGAUCAUCAGUCUAUCAACAUAAUAGUCUCUACGNNNUAUUCUAGGGACUCUAUUAUUAUUUAACACAUAAACAUAAUAAAGAAAAGCCUUUAUUUAAUAAGUAAAUUAUCCAAUACAAGUAUCAUGCAAUUAUAAAUAAUUGGCCUCUAGGGCUUACACCAACAC